AAAAACUACUGGCACACUACGCCGGUCCGUUAGUGAUUCUCCAUCGUCUAAGCGAGGUAAACUACGAAAUCGCACGUCUGACUACUAGUGGCCAACGUUCAUGCAAGACCGAGGUGACGCAUGUUGCCCGCCUGAAGCCGUAUACACGAAGGACACAACAAUGACUCGCCCAGAGGGAGUCGUCUGAGAUUGGAGGAAUGAUACGAAGUGUCACU
rnacentral:lncRNA from 1 species